rnacentral:lncRNA from 1 species
CGCAGAUCUACUAUGUGGGGCUCCGGGCAAGAGCAUUCCAGGCAGAGGGGCCGCCAGUGCCAAGGCCCUGGGGCACAGGGCUGCAUCUGAAGAACAACAAAGAGGCCGAGUGUUUUUGGUGACGUGAGAGCGAGUAACGGGGAGAGGGUGAAGAGAAACGGCCGAUGACGUGGGGUCUCGUGGGACCUUCCAGGACUUGGGCUUUUACGUUGACGAGGCAGAGAGCCGCUGGGUCAGGAGCAGAGGAGCGAUCGACUCGUUUUCUAACAGGAUCCCUCAGGGGCAGCACUGAGAACAUGGGCAGAAAGCGGGCGACAAGCGAGGAGCUGACAUGGGAGAGAGGGGUUUCCGAGGGCGGAGGGAGAGCGCGUUGGGGCGGCAUGGGGUGGGGCAGCCCUCCAGCUCCGCCCUGGCGCACGGAGCCUUCCGCGAGGAGCCUGAGGAUGGAGAUCCUGCUGCAGAGGAUGUGGAUCCCGAGGGCUGAGCGCGGGGUCUUGUGAUCCAAGGCGGAGACGGAGCCAGGGAUGCGCGGAGCCUGACGGGGCUUCUUGCGGCCCUGACACAGGGGUAAAGAGGGCGAUGCAAUGAGUCCUGGGGACCCGAGGCGGCCCGGGGUGGCAGAGGCCGGAGGGCAGGGGGCGGUUCCGGCCCUGGGACGUGGCUUUGGCUCGGGUUGGGACGCAGGGAGGCUGGCGAGACGUGGGAUUGGUCCCGCCCCGAGAUCUUCUCUUCAGCCCCGAGGAUGGAAGGCAGGCCGAGGGACCUUCGGUCAAUAGACGUGAUGAAGACAGUGUCCCGCUCAGGAUGCUCGGCCUAUACGGAGAAGAGCGCCCGUGUGACCGCGGCUCAGCGCACAGACCAGCACAGACUUCAGUCCAAGGUCGCUCUGUGCGCGUUAUGGACAACGGUCCGCGAGCCCGCCAGCUCGUGCGCGCUGGGCGGCUGUGACCGGCUCCGCUUUAGCCGGUUCCCGGAGCCCUGACGCCGCGCUCCUUGCCAAGAGGUCCACCGGCCAGCAGCGGCCGCCUCACCUAGACACUCGUUGGAGAUACGGGACUGGCCCGGCCCGGGGCUACUGAAUCAGCGUCCGCACUGAACCAGAUCCCCAUUCGAGCCCUGGGAAUGCGCCUCAUUAUUAGUAGGAACAAAGCAGGUGCUUCCAGGAAGAGAAGCCAAGGUGGAGCUUUGGAACCUGGCGUGUGGUUACACCUACAGCACAGCUCAGUCCAGAGCAGCCACACUCCAAGAGCUCAGUGGACGCCUGGGCUAACGGCUGUGGUGCUGGAUGGUGCAGCUUCGGGCAACAGAGGUGCGCGCUGUGAGAGACAGAUUUCCACUUCUGGAAAACAAAAUGACUGCCCGUUUAAAGUAGAAGAGGUGGUUCAGCAGACCAUGCAGGGAAUCAACCACUAUGAAGGACAAGCAUCUUUUAGGAUUUUGGGAUCUGCGUAGCUGGGUCAGUGCUGGGAUGGGGGACAUGAAAGGACCCAGUGCUGUGGUGGGUGCUCCUGGCCCAAUCCUCUUUCUCAGAAGCGUCACUCACCAAUCUUCUCCCAAACUGGCUGUGAGUAUAACAAAGACCUUCUUCCUAGUAUUAACACUAGAUUGGCUUCCCAGGAUCUGAUCUUUACCGUGGGUUUUUCUCCUCAAGAAAUUAGAGAAGCUGCUGAGCCACCGGCAGGUGUUAGGCUGUAACCAGGUCCUGUAGCUCUCUGGAGCCCCAGGCUAAUGAACAGCAGGUCUUCAUGAUGUGUGCUGAGAACCGGGUUAACUCAUUUCCCGGGGUGGCCUGCGGACAGCGUCCUCGUGCUGACGGCAGGGUGCAGAGGCACCCAGGACAGGGGGCCCCCACCCCACCUGUCCAGGUGCCUGUGCUCCUGGGGAGGCUCCUGGCCACUUUGCACCAAAACAUCUUUGCUUCUCCCAAAGGGACUUCCUUCCCAAAGCUGAGGAUGGUUUGAAACAAGCCAACAAUGAGCGGGACAAGAUUUAUCCUUGGGCCAUUCACCCACUCCAUCCUGUGCACCCUCCCCUCACCAGACACAGCCCUUCUCUUUGGCCCAGGAGGGCACCUGCUGUCAAAAGCCUUCUCAUCAAAGCGUCAUGCCCUCUUCCACAAGGAGUGACUGUCUACACGAGGACGCAGGUGACACAGAGUCCUUGUUCUCCAUGGCUCUUGUGAAAAGGGACUAAUGCACAGCCAGAAGAACGUCAAGCACAGCUGGGCAGGGGGAGAGAUGGGGAGAAAGUUGGAACGACUGGGCCCGAGAUGGUACCGUGCAGGCAGCAGCACCCCCCUAGAACAGAGUGAGGGGUGAGGGUGGAGCACCCUCCAGGGGUCAAGAUGGGCCGGCAGCAAUGACAGGCUGCCCCUGGGCACUUGCGGCUUCUGUUGUGUGGCCAAAGUAUCAGGCUUACCAUCCUCAGAGAAUAAGGUCAUUUUACUUCUUUAAAAAUGUAGAAUUUAAAUAAUUUUACCAAAAUUAGGUUUAAAGAUGAUUCGUAUGAGUAAGUUCUUAAAUCAAAGCCUGAGGAAGAACUGCUCCCUGCCUCCUACUGUCACACGGCUCUCAUCACGCAGGCGACCCUGUUUACAGCCCAACGUCAUGGCUGCAAUCUUCUGGCUCACACCGAGGUCUUGUUUGGGAACCAUGCUCUUUUAUUAGGGCAGAGGGAACAUUUAAAGGGGUUUUCACAGUUUCUCUGGGCCAACAGUACUCUAACUUUCUGUUUUCCUUUUCUACUGUUACAUGGAAGGAAGGAGCCCCUCUCUGUGUUAAAAUGUGGGGAUUAUUUUGUAAAUUUGACUAUGAAGAAGAGUUAUUUACUCUUUUUAAAAAGUGAUUUACUUUUUUUUUUAAAAGAUAAAGUAGUCUUAGCUGAUAUCUGCAAGGUGUUAUAAGGACUUUUUGGGUCAAAUUACUCUAAAGUCACCCAUUAAGAGAAAUCUGACACAUAUGAGACAAAAUGUGUGUGACUUAAUCUGUCUGGAACCCUACAGUGGUCCCCUUUGCUGAAAGACGAGGUAUAAAUGCUGUCUAAUGUGGAUAAGUGUAGGACACACAUAGUGAGCUAAGUUGAUGCUGACAGGUAAAGUGAAGACACGAAGAAAUCUUAACGUUUGACUCAGGAGCUUGCACUUAAUUUGGUAGGUAGUAGGGAGCUGUUGAAGGUUUUAGAGUAAAGAGAACGGUAAUCUCAGGGUGGUGCUUUAGCUGCAGGAGAAAUGGAGGGAGGAAGAAAGCUCAAAAGUUUGUUGGGGCAGGGCCUACAGGACCACAGCAGAUCAAAUGUGGAGACUAAGGAAGAAAGAGGAGUGAAAGAUGACUCAGAUUUUGAGCUAAGAAGGAUGACAGCUGCCUGAAAGGACAGAGGCCGGAAGUUGUUGGGGGAAAAUAUAAUUAACUUGACCUUGAACAUGCAGAGUUCGAGGAUCAAAUGAAAAAAUGGAUUGAAGCACUUCCAGGAGUGUACGGCACUGUUCUCACAUAAUAAAAUAAUAAUAAUACCAUUCGUUAAACAUGGAGCAAGUAUCUUAUAUGGACUCUCCCAGAUACAGGCUGAGCCCCAUCGUCAUGAAAACGAUCUUUAAGUCCAGGAGAAGAACCUCUGGGCAGAGGGGCCUGGGUCCUGGACUUAUGUGUCAGUUGGGGCCAAUGGGAGGAAGCAGUGAGAAAGUCGCACAGGACCCACAGGGAGUGAGGUGGCUGGAGGCCACUCUAGGCAGCUCGGCGGCCUGGAGACGAUGACUUUGAGGAAGAAGAGCACGGACUUUCCAGUAGGAUUGGCUGAGUUCAAAUUCAGAUUCUGCAAUUGAACAAGCUGGGUUAUUCUGGGCAACUUAACCUUCGGGUGCUCAGUUUCCCCGUCUGAAAUUGGGGCUAUGCCAAGUAUCUGCUCUUAACGGUUGUUGUGAGGACUAAGUGAGAUUAUGCUGAAAAGCGCUAAGAACAGCGCCUGGAAUACGGCAACGACUCAAAACCAUUAAUGAUGCCAAGUGCUAAUGGGGUGAAAAAUGGAAAUUAAGAAAAGAAACCUAAUUACACGGGAGUCGGGAAGGCCUGUAGGGGGAGCUCUCAUGCCCCAUCAUUGCUUGCAUCUCAGACAGGAAGCGCAACUGCUUUAUUACUGAAGGAAGAUUUCUCUCCCCACCCAGCAGCAGCUCAGCCAAUGAGAAAUGCCACAGCUCAGCUAAUGAGAAACUGCAGCUCAGCCAAUGAGAAACGCUGCAGCUCAGCCAGUGAGAAAUGCCACAGCUCAGCUAAUGAGAAAUGCUGCAGCUCAGCUAAUGAGAAACUGCAGCUCAGCUAAUGAGAAACUGCAGCUCAGCCAAUGAGAAAUGCCGCAGCUCAGCCAAUGAGAAACGCCGCAGCUCAGCCAAUGAGAAAUGCCGCAGCUCAGCCAAUGAGAAACUGCAGCUCAGCCAAUGAGAAAUGCCGCAGCUCAGCCAAUGAGAAACGCCGCAGCUCAGCCAAUGAGAAAUGCCACAGCUCAGCCAAUGAGAAAUGCUGCAGCUCAGCCAAUGAGAAAUGCUACAGCUCAGCCAAUGAGAAACUGCAGCUCAGCCAAUGAGAAAUGCCACAGCUCAGCUAAUGAGAAACUGCAGCUCAGCCAAUGAGAAACGCUGCAGCUCAGCCAGUGAGAAAUGCCACAGCUCAGCUAAUGAGAAAUGCUGCAGCUCAGCUAAUGAGAAACUGCAGCUCAGCUAAUGAGAAACUGCAGCUCAGCCAAUGAGAAAUGCCGCAGCUCAGCCAAUGAGAAACGCCGCAGCUCAGCCAAUGAGAAAUGCCACAGCUCAGCCAAUGAGAAAUGCUGCAGCUCAGCCAAUGAGAAAUGCUACAGCUCAGCCAAUGAGAAACUGCAGCUCAGCCAAUGAGAAAUGCCACAGCUCAGCUAAUGAGAAACUGCAGCUCAGCCAAUGAGAAACGCUGCAGCUCAGCCAGUGAGAAAUGCCACAGCUCAGCUAAUGAGAAAUGCUGCAGCUCAGCUAAUGAGAAACUGCAGCUCAGCCAAUGAGAAAUGCCGCAGCUCAGCCAAUGAGAAAUGCCACAGCUCAGCUAAUGAGAAAUGCCACAGCUCAGCUAAUGAGAAACUGCAGCUCAGCCAAUGAGAAAUGCCACAGCUCAGCUAAUGAGAAAUGCCACAGCUCAGCUAAUGAGAAACUGCAGCUCAGCCAAUGAGAAAUGCCGCAGCUCAGCUAAUGAGAAAUGCCGCAGCUCAGCUAAUGAGAAAUGCCGUAGCUCAGCCAAUGAGAAAUGCCGCAGCUCAGCCAAUGAGAAACGCUGCAGCUCAGCCAAUGAGAAGCCGAUGCUGCCCUGAUCUGUUACUCUCCUCCAAUGGAGCUUCCUUUAGAACAGCCCCGCCCUCUCCCCGUUUUCUCUAUAAGAGCAGCUCUGUCCUGUGUUCUCUGGAUUUGCCUAUGGUUCUGGUAGCAUGCGCCUCCUGGAUUGUCGUUCUUUUGGCUAUUCCUGAAAAACUCAUUUUGAGAUAAAAUAUCAGGCAGAUUUGCUUUUUAAGUUGAUAAAACAAGAACCAUUCACAGCAUUUGGCAAGGGAGGUAAGCAGUGACAUCCUGGAGGAAGGUUUCACAGUGGCGGUGGGGCAAAGUCUGUCUUCAGAAUGUUAAUUUUAAUUACAAGGUAGAGUCGUAAAAAUAGCAAUAGGAACAGGAACACUUCCUUCAAAGUGGCCUUCUGAUGGACUUUGUUAUACGUGGGG